rnacentral:rRNA from 1 species
UACGAAGGGGGCUAGCGUUGCUCGGAAUCACUGGGCGUAAAGGGGUGCGUAGGCGGGUCUUUUAAGUCAGGGGGUGAAAUCCUGGAGCUCAACUCCAGAACUGCCUUUUGAUACUGAAGAUCUUGAGUUCGGGAGAGGUGAGUGGAACUGCGAGUGUAGAGGUGAAAAUUCGUAGAUAUUUGGGAAGAACACCGGUGGCGAAGGCGGCUCACUGGCUCAUUACUGAGCUCAGGGCGCGAUACGUGGGG